CAUUGUCGAAACCUGCACAACGCAGAACGACCCGCGAACAUGUUUUUAACACCGGCAGGUCGGGGGUGCGCGAGAGCGCAACUUCUACCUGUCCCCCGGUCCGUUAGCACUCGCGCGAUGCGUUCCACGCUCUCCACGGGGACUUGGCCACCGCGCGUUGCUUUAUCGGAUCAUAACAAACCCCGGCGCGGAAUGCGUCAAGGAAUCUUUAAAUGCGUCGGCACGGCCUUGUGACCCUAUCGCAGGGCGUCAGUGCCAGUGCACUAUUACUACACGAACGACUCUCGGCAACGGAUAUCUCGGCUCUCGCAUCGAUGAAAAACGUAGCGAAAUGCGAUACUUGGUGUGAAUUGCAGAAUCCCGUGAACCAUCGAGUCUUUGAACGCAAGUUGCGCCCGAAGCCACUAGGCCGAGGGCACGUCUGCCUGGGUGUCACGCAUCGUCGCCCCAACCCCCCUCGUGCUUUGGCCGAGGGGCGGGCGGAAAUUGGUCUCCCGUUUGCCCAGCCAAGCGGUUGGCCCAAAUUCGAGUACUCGGCACCGGCUCUCGCCGACCAACGGUGGUGUAACAACCUCUCGGAGGCAAGUCGCGGGCGCCCUUGCAAUCCUGAGGCACUCACGGACCCUGCGCACGGCAGUGCUCAUGACGCGACCCCAGGUCAGGCGGGAUCACCCGCUGAGCUUAAGCAUAUCAAUAAGCGGAGGA
rnacentral:rRNA from 1 species